rnacentral:rRNA from 1 species
AGGGUUUGAUCCUGGCUCAGAAUGAACGCUGGCGGCGUGGAUAAGACAUGCAAGUCGAACGAAGAGAGAUUUAGUUUACUAAUGAUCUCUUAGUGGCGGACGGGUUAGUAACGCGUGAGCAACCUGCCUUAAAGAGGGGGAUAGUCCUGGGAAACUGGGUUUAAUACCGCAUAUGACCACCCUUUAUUGGGCUGGUUAAAGAUGGCUUCGGCUAUCGCUUUAAGAUGGGCUCGCGUCCUAUCAGCUUGUUGGUGAGGUAAAGGCUCACCAAGGCGACGACGGGUAGUUGGUCUGAGAGGACGAUCAGCAACACUGGAACUGAGACACGGUCCAGACACCUACGGGUGGCAGCAGUCGAGAAUCAUUCACAAUGGGGGCAACCCUGAUGGUGCAACGCCGCGUGGAGGAUGAAGGCCCUAGGGUCGUAAACUCCUGUCAUGUGAGAGUAAGGCAUGUAAGUUAAUACCUUAUAUGUUUGAUAGUAUCACAAGAGGAAGGGACGGCUAACUUCGUGCCAGCAGCCGCGGUAAUACGAAGGUCCCGAGCGUUAUUCGGAAUCACUGGGCGUAAAGGGAGCGUAGGCUGUGCGGUAAGUCAGAUGUGAAAUCUCAAGGCUCAACCUUGAAACUGCAUCCGAUACUGCCGCACUAGAGUAAUGGAGGGGUAACUGGAAUUCUCAGUGUAGCAGUGAAAUGCGUAGAUAUUGAGAGGAAGACCAACGGCGAAGGCAGGUUACUGGACAUUUACUGACGCUGAGGCUCGAAGGCUAGGGUAGCGAAAGGGAUUAGAUACCCCUGUAGUCCUAGCAGUAAACGAUGUGCGCUUGGUGUAGUGGGUUC